CCUANGGGUGGCAGCAGUCGAGGAUUUUUCUCAAUGGGGGAAACCCUGAAGGAGCGACGCCGCGUGAGGGAUGAAGGUCUUCGGAUUGUAAACCUCUGUCAUCUGGGAACAAUGCUAGUCACCUAACACGUGCCUAGUUGAUAGUACCGGAAGAGGAAGCAGUGGCUAACUCUGUGCCAGCAGCCGCGGUAAUACAGAGACUGCAAGCGUUGUUCGGAUUCAUUGGGCGUAAAGGGUGCGCAGGCGGUGCGUUAAGUCGGAUGUGAAAUCUCACAGCCUAACUGUGAUAGGUCAUUCGAAACUGACGUGCUAGAGGACUGGAGAGGAGACUGGAAUGGUCGGUGUAGCGGUGAAAUGCGUAGAGAUCGACCAGAACACCGGUGGCGAAGGCGGGUCUCUGGACAGUUCCUGACGCUCAGGCACGAAAGCCAGGGGAGCAAACGGGAUUAGAUACCCGGNUANUC
rnacentral:rRNA from 1 species